rnacentral:rRNA from 1 species
GACGAACGCUGGCGGCGUGCUUAACACAUGCAAGUCGAGCGGUAAGGCCCUUUCGGGGGUACACGAGCGGCGAACGGGUGAGUAACACGUGGGUGACCUGCCCUCAGCUCUGGGAUAAGCCUGGGAAACCGGGUCUAAUACCGGAUAUGACUCCAUGACGCAUGUUGUGGGGUGGAAAGCCUUGUGCGGCUGAGGAUGGGCCCGCGGCCUAUCAGCUUGUUGGUGGGGUGAUGGCCUACCAAGGCGACGACGGGUAGCCGGCCUGAGAGGGCGACCGGCCACACUGGGACUGAGACACGGCCCAGACUCCUACGGGAGGCAGCAGUGGGGAAUCUUGCGCAAUGGGCGAAAGCCUGACGCAGCGACGCCGCGGGAGGGAUGACGGCCUG